ACUCCUACGGGAGGCAGCAGUGGGAAUAUUGCACAAUGGGCGCAAGCCUGAUGCAGCGACGCCGCGUGAAGGAUGAAGGCUUUCGAGUCGUAAACUUCUGUUAAGUGGGAAGAAAGACCCUUGAGUAAUAUGCAAGGGAGAUGACGGUACCACUAGAGAAAGCACCGGCUAACUUCGUGCCAGCAGCCGCGGUAAUACGAAGGGUGCAAGCGUUAUUCGGACUUACUGGGCGUAAAGAGCCUGUAGGCGGCUUAUUAAGUCUGUUGUUAAAUUACCUGGCCCAACUGGGUACUCGCGACAGAUACUGGUGAGCUAGAGUAUAAGAGAGAGAAGUGGAAUUCUCGGAGUAGCGGUAAAAUGCGUAGAUCUCGAGAGGAACACCGGUAGCGAAGGCGGCUUCUUGGCUUAUAACUGACGCUCAAAUGCGAAAGCGUGGGGAGCAAACAGGAUUAGAUACCCUGGUAGGUCAGU
rnacentral:rRNA from 1 species